UCACUGUGCCUGCUACUGCGCAUGUGUCAACUGGACCGACACUGCUGGGAGCCUCCGCGUCCCUAGAUGGCGCUGCAUCGCUGGCGCCUGAAGCCACCAUGCAACCCGGAAGAAAGCCACUGUGGAUCGCUGCCAUGGCAACAGACGCUGUUUUCGGAAAAAAAAAAAAUAAAAAGCAGAACCAGGUACGGUACAUAUGAAAGAAAGUAGCAGCUAUUGUGCCUUGCAUUAGAAGAUGCUAUAUUAGCACAACGAGCAACACCGAAAAAGUGCCACUUCUCGUUGACAGGAGAGGCAGGCUAGAGAACUGCCUUUCCGUAUUUUUGUUAACUCUCGUGUUAGUGUUGUGUGUCCAACGUUGUUGUGAGCUCACUGUAUUGUUAACGGUACCGUGCUUGUGUGUGUGUGGAGAAGCGGCCAUACGUUUGUUAGUAACUGUUAAAAGCCAGAGGUGAGAGUCCGGGAGAAUUUCCUCCCGUUAGAGUGUCUCGGGUACACAUAACAGCAUAAAAAUUCCCUUUAGGAUUACUCAAACAGCUGCCAGAGUCCGGCGUGCGGGCGCUGGGGCCGCGCUCCAGGGCUGGGGGCUGCGCGCUGGGGCUGCCGCUGCGCCGGCUCGGCCGUGGGGGAGGCGGCGCUGGCAGCCACGGCAAAAGGCGGCAGGGGCACCUCGGCGGCAGAGGCACCUCAGCGACAGAGGCAACGCCGACAGCUACUUCUGCAGAGCCAGCCAGACUUCUGCGGGCAUCCCCGGGAGCUGCACGGCGCACGGAGCAGCCCGGGGAACAGCAGCUCGGCGGUGACUGGCUUGCGGGGGAGUUGCCCCGCAGAAUCCAGGCAUGUCGGUAACUGAGAACAGAAAGCAGAAUCUCUCUCUCUUUAGUCCUUCUACUCACUUGUGGAUAACUUAAAACUAAAAGAUUGUGUUUUACUAAAAGUUAGCAUGCAAGAAAUUUUAAGAGUUUCCCAGAGAAUGAAUCUUUAUAUAAAAGCUUUAGUGAGUUGCCUUGGUUUUAGUCACAUUUUACCCCUGUAAAGAACUUCUGCCCAAAUUUCGUGUUCAGUCUUAGCAGGAGGAGACAUAAGGUUCACACAAUAGAGAUCAUUUGUUGCUUAGCAACUGGGUGGGACUCAAACCACCUCCAGCAGUUUCUCAGAACUAGGGAGAGAGUAGAACUUAUACACCAAAAACUACAAAUCUGCAAAUAAGAUAAAUGGAAAGCUGGCAGGCUGAGGAUUUCCUUGAUUCUUAGAUAAAAGAACUAAAAACACGAGGAGAUGAUGUAGAUCACAUCUAAGGAACUGGCUGCAAGCUGGAAUCUGGCCUUCUAUAUCCUUCUGAACUGCACAUGUAGCUUAAGGCUGAGUAUUAAACAGAAUGAUCAAACAGUA